rnacentral:lncRNA from 1 species
UUUGAUUUUGGCAUAAUAAAACAAAGUCAAUGUUCAAUUUCUGCUACUGUAAACACAAUUUGUUUAAUCUGAGUUUGCUAGUAGACUGAAGGUUAAAUACACAUGUCUGCUAUAUCAUGUACAAUUAUUCAUUAAGCUGCUACCCAACACCUGACUAAAAUUAACUUGGCUCGUUCAAUUUUCACAAAAUUUUUACAAAAUAUUUACUUUGACCCUUUGAAAUGAAUACAAAAAUUUCAAAAAACUUGAACCAAUUGAUUUCUAGGAAGAAAUGGUUGAAUAUACAUGUAUUUCAGUUUGACAAACACUAGUUCGAUCAUUGAAAAACUUAAAAUUUCCUGAACAGUAUAACAUGAUUAAAAUGAUUAACUGAUUUUACAGAGUUAUCUCCAGUAUUUAAGGUACUACCUUAAAUGAACAAAAUAUUAUGUAUAUGUCAUUCAGAAAUUUUUCGAUGUGAAUACUAUAUAGCCUGACAACUGUCCAUAUCUUUUCAGAUGAUUAAAAUGUUUAUAAAAAGCUUUUAUUAAAGUUAAAGAUUAUUGAAACUAUCAAUUUGAUUAUGAUUCAUAACAUCUUCAAAAAUCAUUUGCUGAUCUUUUACUUAAAUAUUGGUAUAUAUACAUGUAUAGUGUAAGAUAAUAUUGUAUACGUUAUGCAUGCAUAUCAAAACUUGUUAUUUGUCAUUACAUUUGCUUUCGGAUCUUUCAAAAAUCACAUUUACUUAAUUUUUUUUUUUUUGGAUUAGAAUAUAAAUGAAUUACCAAUAAGUUGAAUAACAGAAUAAUUUUUCAUAUUAUUAUCUUUCAUUAAAUGAUUUGUGAACCCAGAUUAUUGGUCAAAACUUUUUGUCUCUACCACUUCCUAAUUAUUUCUUUCAGAAACAAUAUGAAGACGUGCAAAAAAGGAAAUCUAAAUCUUAAACCUUAUAUGCCUUAAUACCCAGAAAAAACUUUUAACUUUCUGCAGCUUACAACAUGUACAAUAUACAGGUAAUAAUAAUAAGUCUUUUACAGAUGAUAAUUGUAUUAUCGAAUUAAAAUCAAUAUUGCAGC